GUGGUUUUAGCUCAGUUGGUUAGAGCGUCUGAUUGUGGUUCAGAAGGUCGCGGGUUCGAGCCCCGUAUCCCACCCA
rnacentral:tRNA from 1 species